GCCGGGGUGGCGGAAUGGCAGACGCAACGGACUUAAAAUCCGUUGGGGAUCACUCCCCGUGAGGGUUCGACUCCCUCCCUCGGCA
rnacentral:tRNA from 1 species